rfam:Camelus ferus unplaced genomic scaffold scaffold995, whole genome shotgun sequence.
GAGGGUAUAGCUCAGUGGUAGAGUACAUGCUUAGCAUGCACGAGGUCACGGGUUCAAUUCCCAGUACCUCUA